CUGGCUCAGGACGAACGCUGGCGGCGUGCCUAAUACAUGCAAGUCGAGCGGAGUUUAUCGGGAGCUUGCUCCUGAUAAACUUAGCGGCGGACGGGUGAGUAACACGUAGGCAACCUGCCCGUAAGACUGGGAUAACUACCGGAAACGGUAGCUAAUACCGGAUACGCAAGUCUCUCGCAUGAGGGGCUUGGGAAAGGCGGAGC
rnacentral:rRNA from 1 species